rnacentral:lncRNA from 1 species
CAUGGUCAAUCAGCCAGUGCUUCUUCAUGAGCACUUCCUGUGUGUUUACCAGGAACCAGUGGGAUAACAAAUCAAGUCUCUACUUAGUGUGUGUUAGGCAGGCUAGCAUUUCUAUGUGGAGAAACCUCCGAUGGGUUUACACUAAGGGUGAAAUGUAUGUCAGGAUUUGAUGAGCUGUCUGUACUUUCCCUGAACUCACUCAGAGGGAUGUUCCAUCUAUAGAUGCUUAACUUGUAUUAUGAACUUUGAUUUUACUUAACUGGAUCUCUUUGUGGAAUUUUUUUUUCAAUUUUAGAAUAUUGCAUCUUCAAUCUAGAAACAUGAGGAACUACAGAAAAGCAUAUGAACACCGAAAACCUAUAGGCCACUUAUCCAUUUUGAUGUAUUUUAGUCAUCAUUCUGUUUUUUUAUUGCUGUUUAUUAAUUCAGUAUAUUUCCAAACAGCAUCUAUAAUCUAAGUAUUUUUUACUAUUUUUAAUUUUGUUCUCAGACUAUAUCUUCAGUUUUCCUUAAACUGUUUCAUGUGGAAACUUGGUAAACAGGUAGUUACAAGUACUAAUAUAUUAUGACAGUUUUAAAUCUAUUGUAAAAAUAAGUCCUCUCCUCUAAAAACAUAAUAUUCAAUAAGAGUCUGUUGUUAUAUGGUUAGCCUAGAAUGAAGGUAUUGGUUUUGUCAAAACCGGCAUUCAUGGGAUUUGACUUUCAUCCUGCAUAUCACCUCCUAAUGCCUGCAGGAUAUGGAAGUCAUCGGGAAGUGCAGGCACUCUGUCAGCAGAAAAAUGGGAGAUGGGUAACAUAGGGAAGAUGUCAUUUUUACACACAAUAAGCUACAAAUCUAAAACAUUUAUUAUGUCAUUGAUUAUCCUAUUGAAAAAAAUUAAAAGGAAGCACCGAAGUCUCCAACAAUAGGAAAAUUCUUUGAGGAUGUAUUUACCCAAUAGAAUUUUAUUCACUAUUUAUUUAUUUAUUUAUUUAUUAUUAUUUAUUUAUUAUUAUUUAUUUAUUUGAUAGGGCUUGCUGUGUCGCCUGUGCU